UAUUCGGUAGCAAUACUGGGUAUUUUUAGUGGCGAAAGGGUGCGUAACACGUGGGUAAUCUACCGUAAAGUUCGGAAUAACUUCGAGAAAUCAAAGCUAAUACCGAAUGUGAUCUGACAGGGACAUCCCUGUUCCAUUAAAGCUAGGGACCUUCGGGCCUGGCGCUUUAUGAUGAGCCCGCGCCCUAUCAGCUUGUUGGUGAGGUAAAAGCUCACCAAGGCUAAGACGGGUAGCCGGUCUGAGAGGACGAUCGGCCACACUGGAACUGAGACACGGUCCAGACACCUACGGGUGGCAGCAGUCGAGAAUCAUUCACAAUGGGGGAAACCCUGAUGGUGCGACGCCGCGUGGGGGAUGAAGGUCUUCGGAUUGUAAACCCCUGUCAUUUGUGAACAAACCUUUUGGUUUAAUAGAUCAAAAGCUGAUAGUAGCAAAAGAGGAAGGGACGGCUAACUCCGUGCCAGCAGCCGCGGUAAUACGGAGGUCCCAAGCGUUGUUCGGAUUUACUGGGCGUAAAGGGUGCGUAGGUGGCCAGGAAAGUUUGAUGUGAAAGCUCCGAGCUCAACUCGGAAAAUGCAUUGAAUACUACUUGGCUUGAGGAUCGGAGGGGAGACUGGAAUUCUCGGUGUAGCAGUGAAAUGCGUAGAUAUCGAGAGGAACACCAGUGGCGAAGGCGAGUCUCUGGACGAUUCCUGACACUGAGGCACGAAAGCUAGGGGAGCAAACAGGAUUAGAUACCCUGGUAGUCCUAGCCGUAAACGGUGCACACUUGCUGUAGGAGGAUUCGACCCCUUCUGUGGCGGAGCAAACGCG
rnacentral:rRNA from 2 species